rnacentral:rRNA from 1 species
CUACGGGUGGCACCAGUAGGGAGUCUUGCGCAAUGGCCUCACGGCUGACGCAGCAACGCCGCGUGACUGAUGAAGCUUUUCGAAGUGUAAAGGUCUGUUAGGAGGGAAGAACGGUCUCCUGCCGAACAGGCAGGAGACGUGACGGUACCUCCAGAGAAAGCUCCGGCUAACUCCGUGCCAGCAGCCGCGGUAAUACGGGGGGAGCGAGCGUGGUCCGGAAUUAGUGGGCGUAAAGAGCGCGUAGGCGGGAAUGCAAGUCUGGAGUGAAAUGUGCCGGCUCAACCGGGAGCCUGCUUCGGAAACUGCAUUCCUUGAGUCAAGCAGAGGAAAGUGGAAUUCCUGGUGUAGCGGUGAAAUGUGUAGAUAUCAGGAAGAACACCGGUUGCGAAGGCGGCUUUCUGGGCUUGAACUGACGCUGAGGCGCGAAAGCGUGGGGAGCGAACAGGAUUAGAUACCCCAGUAGUC